rnacentral:rRNA from 1 species
GACGAACCGAGCGAACGUUAUUCGGAAUCACUGGGCUUAAAGGGCGCGUAGGCGGGCCAUCAAGUCAGGGGUGAAAGCCCCCAGCUCAACUGGGGAAGUGCCUUUGAUACUGGUGGUCUCGAGGGGGAUAGGGGCAUGCGGAACUUCCGGUGGAGCGGUGAAAUGCGUAGAUAUCGGAAGGAACACCGGUGGCGAAGGCGGCACUCUGGGCCAGUAUUGACGCUGAGGAGCGAAAGCGUGGGGAGCGAACAGG